rnacentral:rRNA from 1 species
UAGGGAAUCUUCGGCAAUGGACGAAAGUCUGACCGAGCAACGCCGCGUGAGUGAAGAAGGUUUUCGGAUCGUAAAACUCUGUUGUUAGAGAAGAACAAGGACGUUAGUAACUGAACGUCCCCUGACGGUAUCUAACCAGAAAGCCACGGCUAACUACGUGCCAGCAGCCGCGGUAAUACGUAGGUGGCAAGCGUUGUCCGGAUUUAUUGGGCGUAAAGCGAGCGCAGGCGGUUUCUUAAGUCUGAUGUGAAAGCCCCCGGCUCAACCGGGGAGGGUCAUUGGAAACUGGGAGACUUGAGUGCAGAAGAGGAGAGUGGAACUCCAUGUGUAGCGGUGAAAUGCGUAGAUAUAUGGGGGAACACCAGUGGCGAAGGCGGCUCUCUGGUCUGUAACUGACGCUGAGGCUCGAAAGCGUGGGGAGCAAACAGG